UACGAAGGGGGCUAGCGUUGUUCGGAAUUACUGGGCGUAAAGCGCACGUAGGCGGCUAUUUAAGUCAGGGGUGAAAUCCCAGAGCUCAACUCUGGAACUGCCUUUGAUACUGGGUAUCUCGAGUAUGGAAGAGGUGAGUGGAAUUCCGAGUGUAGAGGUGAAAUUCGUAGAUAUUCGGAAGAACACCAGUGGCGAAGGCGACUAACUGGACAUGUAUUGACGCUGAGGUGCGAAAGCGUGGGGAGCAAACAGG
rnacentral:rRNA from 1 species